GUCUACGACGGUAAAUCGAACGCAGACGUAAACACAUACGGAGCUUCAAUACAAUAAUUUGCAAGUAAAGUCAAGAUGCCGGGACCAAACUGCGAUAAGUGCAAAGAUAAAUGUCAGGACUGCAAAUGCGGCAACAAUUGCAAAUGCUGUGACUCUAGUUCCUCAGAAAAAUGUGAUUGUUGUUGUAAGACAACUGGCAAAUGCAAUUGUACCAAUUGUAAAUGUUAAUACAAUCUGAUGAGAAAUGCGUAGAAGCUGCAGGAGGACUCAAA